rnacentral:rRNA from 1 species
AAAAUACGGGAGGCAGCAGUGAGGAAUAUUUCACAAUGAGCGAAAGCUUGAUGGAGCAAUGCCGCGUGCAGGAUGAAGGCCCUCGGGUUGUAAACUGCUUUUAUAAGAGAAGAUUAUGACGGUAACUUAUGAAUAAGGGACGGCUAACUACGUGCCAGCAGCCGCGGUAAUUUUU